UCAAAGUCCAUGUGCCGCCGCUAUCAGUGUCUUCUCCCGAUCGCUUUGUUAUCCUAUCCCUCCUUCACGUGUUCCCUUCUUCUUCUCCCACCCCCUAUUUAAACCUCUCCCGGGGCGAUCCCAACACCACAUCGAGGUGGUGGCCACAAGUUCAGAGUCCUGAUGGAAGGAGGAAAGAAGAAGUCUUCAUCGAUCGCCGACGAUCUCUCCCCCAGCGGGAAGUCUGCGCCUCCUCCCUCAUCCAAUUUGUCUGCUUCCUCGCCCAGCCACUUCAGCGGCGUCUUCCCUCCUCCGUCUGCGGUGGCGGGAAAAUCUCACGGCAACAAAUCCAAAACGCAAACGGUGCAGAGCAAGGAUGGCAAACCUGUCGUCACCAGUACUCAAUACGAAGAAUCGACCUAUUUUGGCUCAUCCGUUCACUACGGUGGCCGGGAUUUCUAUGACAGCUCUGCAUCCAACCAACCUUCUGGAGCUCCAAAACCUUAUAAAGAUUCAUAUGACAAGGGAGAGAAUCCCAAUGAUCCCAACGUUGCCAACAGAGGUGAAUGGUGGCAAGGUUCUCUGUACUACUGAAGCUUCCAACUUAAUGAUAAGCUCUCCAAUCAAUCAAUAUAGGAAAAGGUACUUGGAACAGUGGGUUCUGUCGUUAAUUACAGGGCCUGUUGGUGAUCGAUCGCUGCUAGUUCAUAUAGGGUCAUUUGGUGUCAACUUAAACAAGCCGUGAAGUCUUUUUUUUUUUUUUAAUCGUUUCUUUCUUAUCUUUUGCUUUCAAACAGGUUGUCUAGUUUGGCUUUAGUAGGUAUAAAGCAACAAGUUGCUUUGGUGUGUCUUCUCGUGUCCCUGCAGUAUACUGCUUCCGCCCUUCGCCUUCAGCUUUUAUUCUCGUGAGGUAGUAAGGUCGCUCAAAUGAAAAAGCAAGCAGUUGUAUCCACUAGUUUCCGACUUUAAUGUAAUACAGUGACUAAAUAUUUUGCAU